AAAUUGAAGAGUUUGAUCAUGGCUCAGAUUGAACGCUGGCGGCAGGCCUAACACAUGCAAGUCGAACGGUAACAGGAAGCAGCUUGCUGCUUCGCUGACGAGUGGCGGACGGGUGAGUAAUGUCUGGGAAACUGCCUGAUGGAGGGGGAUAACUACUGGAAACGGUAGCUAAUACCGCAUAACGUCGCAAGACCAAAGAGGGGGACCUUCGGGCCUCUUGCCAUCGGAUGUGCCCAGAUGGGAUUAGCUUGUUGGUGGGGUAACGGCUCACCAAGGCGACGAUCCCUAGCUGGUCUGAGAGGAUGACCAGCCACACUGGAACUGAGACACGGUCCAGACUCCUACGGGAGGCAGCAGUGGGGAAUAUUGCACAAUGGGCGCAAGCCUGAUGCAGCCAUGCCGCGUGUAUGAAGAAGGCC
rnacentral:rRNA from 2 species